rnacentral:rRNA from 1 species
AUUGAACGCUGGCGGCAGGCCUAACACAUGCAAGUCGCGCGGAUGAAGAGCGCUUGCUCUCUGAUUUAGCGGCGGACGGGUGAGUAAUGCCUAGGAAUCUGCCUGGUAGUGGGGGAUAACGUCCGGAAACGGGCGCUCAUACCGCAUACGUCCUACGGGAGAACGCAGGGGACCUUCGGGCCUUGCGCUCUCAGACGAGCCGAGGUCGGAUUAGCUGGUUGGUGAGGUAAUGGCUCACCAAGGCGACCAUCCGUAACUGGUCUGAGAGGGUGAGCAGUCACACUGGAACUGAGACACGGUCCAGACUACUACGGGAGGCAGCAGUGGGGAAUAUUGGACAAUGGGCGAAAGCCUGAUCCAGCCAUGCCGCGUGUGUGAAGAAGGUCUUCGGAUUGUAAAGCACUUUAAGUUGGGAGGAAGGGCAGUAAGUUAAUACCUUGCUGUUUUGACGUUACCGACAGAAUAAGCACCGGCUAACUUCGUGCCAGCCGCCGCAGUAAAAC